rnacentral:rRNA from 1 species
GACGAACCGUCCAAACGUUAUUCGGAAUCACUGGGCUUACAGAGUUCGUAGGCGGUCCCAAAAGUUAGGUGUGAAAUCCCUCGGCUCAACCGAGGAACUGCGCUUAAAACUGUGGGACUCGAGGGAGAUAGAGGAAAGCGGAACUGAUGGUGGAGCGGUGAAAUGCGUUGAUAUCAUCAGGAGCACCGGUGGCGAAGGCGGCUUUCUGGGUCUUACCUGACGCUGAGGAACGAAAGCUAGGGGAGCGAACGGG